rnacentral:rRNA from 1 species
AUGUCCGCCGUUGACUCCUGGCAGUUCUGCGCCAAGCUUGCACGCCAAUUUAUGAAGGGUUGGGGCGCGAACCUCGGCCGUGAUAUCCGUGACCGCAAGAAGGCCCUUCUGAGUGCCAUCCAAGUUCUAGACGCCCGCGCUGACACUUCUGGGAUCUCCCCGGACGAGUGGAUGCUGAGAUAUGAUCUCGAGGACCAGCUCUCGGUCAUCUACUUGGAUGAGGAGGCAUACUGGCGGCUGCGCGGCACCCAACGGUGGGUGCUCCGUGGUGACGCUAACACGGCUUACUUCCAGGCGAUCGCCAAUGGCCGGCAUCGAUGGAACUCCAUUCACUCCUUGUGGGACGGCGAUACUCAGCUUGUUCGCCCCUCAGACAUCCGAGCCCACGUAGACGACUUCUAUAAAGCCCUUUUCUCCCCUACCCCUCGGGGUGGGGCUGCGCUGGCCCCCGACACCUGA